rnacentral:misc_RNA from 1 species
AACGCACGAGACCUGCGGACCUGCGGAGGGAUCAUUACCGAAUGGCCUCUGGGCCUUCACAAACCCCAUCAAACCUGUGGACCUCUCAGAGAGAGCGUGCUUCGGCGUCCCCUCGGCUCUGCCCGAGGGACGCCGCCUUCAUGCAGAUAGAUCGUCUUGUCUGAUUUUGAAACCAUGAGAAUUUAAAACUUUCAACAACGGAUCUCU